rnacentral:lncRNA from 1 species
AGAGAAAUUUUUUUUCCUUCUAGGAGUUGUACUUGGACCUAAAUUUGUAAUCUUUUUAGUUAGUUUUUAUGUAGGUGAUAUUACAUGAUUUGUAAUGAUUUUUUAGGCUAGCAGAAAAAAUUAGAGAGAAAAUUUUCAAAGGAAUUUAAUGUGAGGAACUAACAUAACAUCUUUUGGAAGUAAAAUGGAGGUCAGAGGAUGUGUGGAAUGAGUAUUGGUUACUGUCACAUUUCUUUCCAACAUCUACUUUGUUAACUCUGGAGUACAUUUGAUUACUUUAGUAAUUCCCAUCAUAAAGGUAUGGUUUAAAAAUUUAUUUAUUGAUUCCUAAUUGGUUUUUGAGAUAUUUUGUCUUUUGUGUUGAUGUUGGGUCUAGUUUAGUAUAGAAAUGUAGUAACCAGAGAGUAAACAGUGUGUGUUGAUGCAAUAACAGCUCAAACAUGCCAUGGGGAUUGGUCAGUUUGUGACCCAGAUACCAGUAUUUCUUCUGUCCAUCCUUUUCUGUUUGAAUUUGUGAAACUUGCAAUAUUUCCCAUUUACUGGCUACAGAAGCUAGUGUAUUUUAUAUUUUACCUGAGACAGUUUAAUGCAUCAAGAGGCUGGAGGACUGCAGAAAUGAAGAAUUCUUCCUACCCCCUGUGGCCUGUGCUAAAUGAAACACAUCUAUAGUGUGUACUUCUUCAAAGAAGGAUAAACACUUAUUACCUGCAACAAUGUUGAUAAUGACAUUAUCAUAAAACUUCAUAGUCUAGCAUUAUCAGUUGAUUUGUAGGUUGGAAUUCUGCAAAGGCUUUACACAUUCUACAGUUUAAAUACUAAUAGGUGAUCUGUAAAGUUGAAUUUAUGCCUGGUGAUGACAAACUUUUGGAGCUUCGAUGGCAAAAAGUUGAUCCCUUCAACAGAAAUGAUUUUAAAACUUUCUGCUAACAGUGUAUUUUUAUUCCUCUUCCUGUUAAGGAACAACCAAACUUAAUGUUCUUGUGAUGGUUCUGGAUUGUUGACUGUUAUUGAG